rnacentral:lncRNA from 1 species
GAGAGAGUGCUCAGACACGAUAGGAGGAACUCCACAGCUGGAUGAAAUAACCUGUAGGAACACAAAAGAAGAAAGACCCUUAGGGAGUUAUUCUGCUAACUCAGGUGAGAAGUGAUGGUGUCUUGGUAGAACUGGUGGUAUCACAGUAGACCAGAAAGAAGUACUUGGACCUCCUAGAAUUUGAGGAUUUUCUAAGUUAAUGCAAGAGAUGAGAGAAAGAUAAUUCUAGUAUAGCUACUAGGUACUAUUACAAGCACAAUAAGCAAACCAUCAUCAGCUGUCUGGAAGGUCUACAAGAAGCUGAGUACAAG